CGGGAUGGGGAGAAGGAAGAGAAAAGUGCGGUACAUACAGCUCGAUGAGUCCGCCAGCCCCCAGCCUCCGCUCCUCUCCCUCCUCUCUCUCCCUCUUAAGGCAAAAAGGAAAUGCGGUUCUUUUCGCAGAAUCACAAAACUGAACCAUCAGGAAGUUGGCAAAAUCUCUAACUAAACAAUCAAUCGAGGAAAUGCAACAAAUUUCGAGCGAGCCCGGAGCUUCGCGGGGAGGGGAGCGAAAGGUCGGCGGGAGGCGCGCAGCACAGCGCAAAUCCCGCGCAGCGCAGUGCGCUCAGGGCGAUGGGCUCUGCUUGGUGAUAAGGACAGAAUGUUUUCCCUUCUCACGCCAAACAAACAAAUAAAGGAAUAAAUACGAACUCCGGGAGCGGAGCAGCAGCAUCGCCCGGGAUGUGGGCGAGGACUCUCCAAUGGGUAAAGCCCAGCAAAACCCUGCGAUGGGUUUUCUCUGCUGCAGGGGCUCCUCCAGAUGCGCCUAAAGGCGGCUGCACCCCCCCCCCCCAGACCUCUUCUGCCCCUCCUGGAGGGUGCGGGGCCGGGGCCGGGGGAGCCGCCCUCCCCCAGAAAUGCGGGACACGCUCCGGGGUCACUGCUAAAAGCAACACAGGUCCGUAUUUUUUAAUAAAGAGCGUUCUCUUGCGAGCUGGCUGCCUUCCACCCACCCCACGGAUGAGCUGGCUCUGUAAACACUGAAUAGAAGAUUAACACUGCUGUUAUAACCUCAUAGAGAGAUCUGUGCCUUAUGAAAGCUUUUACUGCUGCUGAUCUAUGGGCUUCAUAAUAGACCUUUUGUUUUAAGGGUGACAACAGCCCCCAGCCCUGCCAUCCUCACGCGGCCCCGGCCCCAAUCCUUCCCCUGCCUCGGAGGCACCGGGUGUCCCCAUAGCAAAAAAUCCGCCGAGCAUUUAUUACUGUUACUGUUAUUAUUACUUUGAAGGGUGAUGCCUCGAGUUUUGGCAAGGUUUUGCGGCAGAUAUCGGCCUGUUCGCGUACAGCUCCUUACUGCCCGCCUCUGUCUCGAGGGAGGGGGGGACGAAAGCGAUGUUAUCUGCGAGUGGGAGUGAGGUAAUUAAUUACCGCUGCUUUGCAGCGAUGUUAAUUGAGCUCUGCCCCAGCACCGUAGUUGCGAAAAGCGGCGCAGAGCUGGCAAUGGCAAGUUCAUUAGCCUACGAAUGACACAAACGCGCACCUGGGGGAGCUGCUUGUUUUUCCCUUUUGCCAAAAUAACAGCGGGCUGAAUUGCAAACCGGAGGAAGAACCGAGCGCUCCGGGUUGGGUGAGGGCUGAGAGCAGCCGGGAUCCACCGCAGUUUUCCCUCCAUCCAUCCCUCACUGUCACCCUCCGAGCUCCGACGCAGAAACAGAGUUAGCCAAAACGAAGUUGGAGUAAGAACAACCAGGAAAAGAAUAAAAAAGGAGAAGGAAAAUAAAAGAAGAGAAGAAAGAGAAAAAGGGAAAAAAAAAAAAAAAAAAAAAAAAAAAAAAGGUGAAAAGGGAAAAAGAAGAAAAAAAAGAAGAAAAGGGGAAAAGAGGGGAAAAAAAAAAAAGAGGAACUAAAAAGGGAAAGUAGGGGGAAAAAAAGGAAAAAAAGGAAAAGGGAAAAAAGAAAAAAAAAGGAAGAAAAGGGAGAUAAAGGAAAAGAGGAAAAAUAGGGAAAAGUUAGAAAAAGAGGAAAGUAGGAAAAAAAAAGAAAAAAUAGAGAACUAAAGAAAAGAUAAGAAAAAAACGGCAAAAAGAAAAAUAGAUAAAUAAAGAAAAGGUAAGAAAAAAGGAGAUGGACAAGAAGAGCAGCUCUGUUUUCCUCCCCGUUUACUUGCAAACAUAUAAGGCAAACCUUUUCCUUGGGUAAGGAUUUGUAAAGCCUUCCUUUAGUGCACAAUACCUUUUUUUUUCUCAUGUACCCACGCUGAGGAAUACCAGCAUGAGCUCGGAUGAUGAUUUGACUUGACUACAACUCCUAUGACAGAAAAACUGCGGCAUCGGAAUAAAAUGAGAAUAAAACAGAACAUCGGGCUUAGAGAAGCCGGAAAACUGUCAGACAAAAUACACCGUAGUCAGAACGGGCUUUACCUUUAUGAGACACUACAAAUUGCUCCUAUAGACACUUUGGAGACCUUUGAAAUCCCUUCAUUAGCAAUUGGAUGCAUUUGACAUUCGAGCUCAUUGUAUCCCCGAGGCACCCAAAACCUUGAAAAUCAAGUUUUAUGAAAGCUAAUAAAAAACAUGCUCAAAAAAAAGGGGGAGGGAGGGGGGGUAAAUUCGAGAUUUGAGAAAGGAUGAGAGAAGAGGAAAGGAAAGGAAAGGAAAGGAAAGGAAAGGAAAGGAAAGGAAAGGAAAGGAAAGGAAAGGAAAGGAAAGGAAAGGAAAGGAAAGGAAAGGAAAGGAAAGGAAAGGAAAGGAAAGGAAAGGAAAGAGGAAAGGG